UCGACAAACCUGUUGAGCCUCCUACUGAUAGAUACCUAGACGCCAGAAGAGAAGAUAGGGUUUCUGUUCUCCGGGGCGAGGUCCGGGUCUGUAUCGUGUAUAAAGCAGAAACCUAGAAGCCAGGAGGGCAGAAAAUUAAGCUGAAGUUUGGGAGCCACUGCAGGGAAAAGAUUAAUCAAGUGAUGGGCAACAGUAAAGAGGAAGGAUUUGAUUUUCAGAAAUGAUUCUCCGUGGCUGCACAGAAUGGUGUGCUGUGUGCGGCCAGGCCCACUUAUGCCUGCCUGGCUCUGCUCCCCAACACGGAUCUUGAAGGGACUGCCAGGGAUGUGGGCACCAUUGAACUUGACAUCAAUAGAGUGGACGCCGUUCUCGUGGGGGAUGAAGCGGAUGGUGUGCUUGUCUGUGGGGCAGAGGGCUGGUCACUGCUAAACCCUCGGACCCAUGGACCUGCCUUCAACUCCUGCCCGGGUCUUAGGACGACAGAGGGGCCUACCCCUGGGCACGUACCUGGAGGCUGGUGACGGUGAGGCGGCGAGCAUCAUCCGAGAGGGAGGCCACAGGCACCACAAAGGGACUGUCUGCCACUGUCCAGGGCCCUGGAGCUUACCAGCACGUGGAAGGGGCUGUUGGGGAUGUGCUCGCCUCCAAAGCGGAUCGUGAUGACGUACUUGCCCGGCUCGGGCGCUGUGUAGUAGAUGUCAAAGGUAGGACACGGUGUAUGUGCCAUCCCCAUUGUCUCGGAUGUUGGCCUUCUUGGGCUUUCCCUCGGGGUCCUGGGAGAGAUGCAGAGGUCAGGGCCUGCCUGUGCCCAAAGCCUGACCAGGGAGAUGGGCUGCGCAUGGACUCACCAGGAUCUGGACGGGUCCACCACAUCCUUCACCGGCACCCGGAAUGGGCUCCCUGCAAGGAGAUGGACAUCAGCCCCUACCCACCUGCCAGGGAAGAUCUCGGACACUGAGGAAGCCGGUAGAAGGAGGUCUUCCCUGCCUCUGAAAUGCCCCAGGGAGGCCAGACCAACUUACGCAAAUGCUUAAGAACUUGCUAAGAAAUUGUAAACGGGGACAGAUAAACUUGGCGGUAGACCGAGGCUGGGCAGACCUCAUGUGUUGAGCCACAGGCCUGGAAGAAGUCCUUCCUAAAUAAAAUGCUGAAAACUGAUUUAAAAAAAAAAAA